rnacentral:tRNA from 1 species
AGUAUAGCUCAGUUGGUAGAGUGCUCGCCUGGUGUGCCUGAAGCCCUGGGUUCAAUCCCCAGGACUA